CUGGGAAUCCGAGUCGUGCCAAACCGUCCGACUCGGGGAUUAGGUUUUUCAAGGUAAUAAAAGAUAUUAGGAAAUUUGGGAAUUUUGGAUGAAGAAUUACGGUAUACAAUAAAGAUGAAGAAAGUUAUAAAGUUUUGAAAUACAGAAAUAAGCUUUGGGUAAAGAUCCCCACAGUACCCCCCUACCAGUGAUAAAGUUACCGGAAAGGCCGGAAGAAGCUCUUCGGAGUUGGUAUUGCAUGCAGCAGAGGUGAUGCGCGUCGCAUUGAGAUGAAAUCUUGAGAACCACGCCUGGAAACAGUCGGUGAGUCGUGCCUGCUUCCCAGCUCUCGUCGUUCGAGAGUUGUUGGCGAGAGGUUGCAGCAGUGGUGUGCGCGUCGCACUGAGAUGAGAACCCAGCCUGGAAACAGUCGUUGCUGCUGCUGGAUCUCUGGUUGAACUGGGAUCUCUGUCGGGUUGGUCGAAGUUGUGAGCACCAUGCUUUUUAGAGUACAGUUCUGGAAAACGUCUCUAGGGUAGGUACAUUCGUGGCAAACGUGCCACGGCUAUGGUGUUUGUUUUCUUCUUAACCCUGGCGGUUUUUCUUCUGUUGUGCCUGUGUAGACAUACCACUUGUGGCAUGUUGUUACACUUUAACGGCAGGAAGGAUGUUGUACGGUCGAAGGACCUGGUGAUGUGAUGCGAUGCAAUACCUGGCUGUGAUGAUGGUACUCCAGAGUGUGGUUGAGAAGGCGGUGGGUUAUUAGAGUUAGACCUACCCUUGUGGGUGAGAAUGAAGUGGUAUAGAAUGCGGAGGAAAAGUAUGUGAUGGGAGUUUAAGAUGCGGCGGCAUGUGCGGUGGUGGACCACCAUGUGGACACAUGCCUGGCAGUGGAAAACAACUGCAUACUAGGCAUACCAGGAUGAGGCGGCACCUGGUGCGGCGAUGUUGGACGUCCUGGGUGAUAACUCGGAACGUGCGGUUGAUGCAUCGUAGGUGCAGAAGUAUGGAAUGAUGCCUUCUGCGGUGGAAGUUGUAGCUGAAGAGGCAUCGAAGAUUGAGUCCUUGGUAGCGGUUGAUGUUGCGUUCGUCGUAGACAUUGUUGUGUUGCACUCAGAUAUUGACUCACCAGAUACCCACAAAAUAAAAACUAACGUGUGUUUAAUGUUCGCAAAUAUCACGUCGGGGUCACCAAUUUGUGGGAUCGGUGAGUGAGUGCAAAUGUUAUAAUUGAUGAGUGAGUAAAGGACACGAUGUUUAUUAUCACGAACAAUGUUUAUUAAGAAGUCUUGAAGAAGUAUAGUUAAGAAGUAUUGUAGAGAAGAAUAGUUAAGAACUGUAGUGUUUGAAGUAAUGUGAAGAACUGUCCUUCCUAAACCCUUGUCACCCACCAGCAACCCUUCAGGUUGAUGGGUGGUGACAAGAAAUUUGGAAGUAGGAAGAAAGUAAUAGAUUGGAUUGGUAGAAGAAAGUGUAUGACAUUGAAGAGAGGGAAAGCUGACCAUUGGAUUCUGGGAAUCCGAGUCGUGCCAAACCGUCCGACUCGGGGAUUAGGUUUUUCAAGGUAAUAAAAGAUAUUAGGAAAUUUGGGAAUUUUGGAUGAAGAAUUACGGUAUACAAUAAAGAUGAAGAAAGUUAUAAAGUUUUGAAAUACAGAAAUAA